rnacentral:rRNA from 1 species
UACGACUACAUAUCAGGCAUAUCAAUAAGCGGAGGAAAAGAAACUAACUAGGAUUCCCUUAGUAACGGCGAGUGAAGCGGGAAGAGCUCAAAUUUGAAAUCUUCAAGGUUUUACCUUGACGAAUUGUAGUUUAAAGAAGUGUUUUCUGUUGGAUGUUUUGGUAAAAGUUCUUUGGAAUAGGACAUCAUAGAGGGUGAGAAUCCCGUAUUUGACCAUUUACUUCCAGCUGUUGUGAUACACUUUCAAAGAGUCGGAUUGUUUGGGAAUGCAGUCCAAAAUGGGUGGUAAAUUUCAUCUAAAGCUAAAUAUUGGCGAGGGACCGAUAGCGAACAAGUACCGUGAGGGAAAGAUGAAAAGAACUUUGAAAAGAGAGUUAAACAGUACGUGAAAUUGUCAAAAGGGAAGCGUUUGACACCAGUGUUGUUUUCUCGAAAAUCAAUUAAAAAGUAUGGGAUUUUGUAUUGUUAAGACCUUAUCAGCUUACGGUACUUUUUUCUUAUUCUUUUUAAUGCACUUUUCGUUUAACAAGUCAACAUCAAUUUCUUUUGUUGUAAAAGAGUCAUUGGAAGGUGGCUUUCACUUCGGUGAAAGUGUUUAUAGCCUUUGGCUUCUGCAAUCGGAGAGAUUGAGGUCUGCAGCGUAGAUCCUUCGGGGUUAGAUACGUAGAUGCUAAGUUAUAGUUUUUCAUAGACAACUUGUUGACUAUGAUUAAUCAUGUAGCUUACUCGUUUGCGCUAUUUUACCUACGCUUAGGAUGUUGAAUCUGUGCGAGACUAC